rnacentral:rRNA from 1 species
UCCUACCAUGCAGUCGGGCGAAGAAGCUCCUCCGGGAGUGGAUUAGCGGCGGACGGGUGAGUAACACGUGGGCAACCUGCCUCAAAGAGGGGGAUAGCCUCCCGAAAGGGAGAUUAAUACCGCAUAAAAGGUAAAUAUCGCAUGAUAAAUACCUUAAAGGAGAAAUCCGCUUUGAGAUGGGCCCGCGUCGCAUUAGCUAGUUGGUGGGAUAACAGCCCACCAAGGCGACGAUGCGUAGCCGACCUGAGAGGGUGAACGGCCACAUUGGAACUGAGAGACGGUCCAGACUCCUACGGGAGGCAGCAGUGGGGAAUAUUGCACAAUGGGGGAAACCCUGAUGCAGCAACGCCGCGUGAGUGAAGAAGGUUUUCGGAUCGUAAAGCUCUGUCAUCCGGGACGAUAAUGACGGUACCGGAAGAGGAAGCCACGGCUAACUACGUGCCAGCAGCCGCGGUAAUACGUAGGUGGCGAGCGUUGUCCGGAAUUACUGGGCGUAAAGGGUGUGCAGGCGGAUAUUUAAGUGAGAUGUGAAAGACCCGGGCUUAACCCGGGCAGUGCAUUUCAAACUGGAUAUCUAGAGUGCAGGAGAGGAGAACGGAAUUCCUAGUGUAGCGGUGAAAUGCGUAGAGAUUAGGAAGAACACCAGUGGCGAAGGCGGUUCUCUGGACUGUAACUGACGCUGAGGCACGAAAGCGUGGGUAGCAAACAGGAUUAGAUACCCUGGUAGUCCACGCCGUAAACG